rnacentral:lncRNA from 1 species
AUCUCAGACAUUUGAAGGAAAUGGUGUUUACACACCUGGUCCAAGGUGACAUGACUAUAUUAGAAUAUGUUCAAAAGUUCCUAGAGUUGGGUCGGUAUUCCCCUGAGAGCAUGAUGGAUGAAGGCAGGAAGGCAUGAAAGUUCGAGUGGGGUCUCUGACCUGAGAUCAGAUAACAGUUGUAUGUGUUCGAGCUCAGUACUUACUAGGCUGUUCUGGCCAAAGCAUAGCUAGUGGAGAGGAACCUUUGC